UCGAGAAUCAUUCACAAUGGGGGCAACCCUGAUGGUGCAACGCCGCGUGGAGGAUGAAGGCCCUAGGGUCGUAAACUCCUGUCAUAAUAGAGUAAGACAUAGUCGUUAAUAGCUUCUAUGUUUGAUAGUAUAUUAAGAGGAAGGGACGGCUAACUUCGUGCCAGCAGCCGCGGUAAUACGAAGGUCCCGAGCGUUAUUCGGAAUCACUGGGCGUAAAGGGAGCGUAGGCGGCGUGGUAAGUCAGAUGUGAAAGCCCAAGGCUCAACCUUGGAACUGCAUUCGAUACUGCCAUGCUAGAGUAGUGGAGAGGUAAUCGGAAUUUUCGGUGUAGCAGUGAAAUGCGUAGAUAUCGAAAGGAAGACCAAUGGCGAAGGCAGAUUACUGGACACUUACUGACGCUGAGGCUCGAAGGCUAGGGGAGCGAAAGGG
rnacentral:rRNA from 1 species